AUUGAACGCUGGCGGCAUGCCUUACACAUGCCAGUCGAACGGCAGCACGGGUGCUUGCACCUGGUGGCGAGUGGCGAACGGGUGAGUAAUACAUCGGAACAUGUCCUGUAGUGGGGGAUAGCCCGGCGAAAGCCGGAUUAAUACCGCAUACGAUCCACGGAUGAAAGCGGGGGACCUUCGGGCCUCGCGCUAUAGGGUUGGCCGAUGGCUGAUUAGCUAGUUGGUGGGGUAAAGGCCUACCAAGGCGACGAUCAGUAGCUGGUCUGAGAGGACGACCAGCCACACUGGGACUGAGACACGGCCCAGACUCCUACGGGAGGCAGCAGUGGGGAAUUUUGGACAAUGGGCGAAAGCCUGAUCCAGCAAUGCCGCGUGUGUGAAGAAGGCCAUCGGGUUGUAAAGCACUUUUGUCCGGAAAGAAAUCCUUGACUCUAAUACAGUCGGGGGAUGACGGUACCGGAAGAAUAAGCACCGGCUAACUACGUG
rnacentral:rRNA from 1 species